UGCAAGCUUCUUUCCGUCAACACAGGCUUUGAGACUCGUCCACACUGGGCCAUCUGCAUGUGUGCAUGUGUACAGUCAAGCACCCACCAGCACACUGGGCUGCGGACCGUCACGUGUGGGCCAGGGUGCAGGAGACGCAGCCCUGACCUAUGGCUGUGAAAGCGGCUUUAAAUUUAACCCAUGGCCGCAGAGUGUCUGACCGCCCCUCAAGAGAACAGCCACUGCUCCUCUGGCUCUGUCUUGAGGGAGAAGUCAUGCAGGAACGAGGGAGCCAGCAUUCGUCAGGCCUCCAGCAGCACCAGGAUGCAGUCGUGCAACUGUGGACGCUGAGGGGACACGGACAGCUCCCUGAGCAGCUGGACACUCCGGCGCCAGCAAAGCGCGGUGGUAGGGAGCGGCAGUGUGUCCCAGAGGGUGGCAGGCUGGUGAAGGUGUGCUGCCGCCACAGGCUACAGGCACAGGCCGCCUCCCGGCUGCCCGAUGGCUCUCGAGCUGGGACUUUAACCCCACGUGCGUGGGGACACGUGCCUGUCAUCUGAGUUCCCCGACGGCGGGAUUUCAUCCAUCAGCUUGGUCUGGCAAGACACCAUCAGUGUCUAGCUCCCUGGCAGGAAGCUGUGUCGAGGCGGGCACUUUGCUUGGCACGGUCAGUGCGCCCACAAUAGUGGCCUGUCUCCGUUGCCGCUUCAGAGCCCAGGCUCGCGAGGGCCCCUUCGCCUCUGUGCUGCUAUCACAGGUUGCAGAGAAACCCGUUUGGCGUGUGCACAAGUGUCGCCAGGGAUUCUGGGGCUCCAAACAGGCGGCACAUGCCUCCCCUUUGUGCUCUCCCCGGGGGCGCUCACACACUUUCCCCACGUGCUGCCCAUGGGGGAAGCAGGGGGCACACGCCCGCUCAUUUUCUUCCCCCUGAAGUCCCCACUCGGAAACUCCAGUUCCUGAGGACAGACCGUGGCGAGCUCUGGGAAGCAGCCACGGGGCGCGCGGAAGGUGGAGCUGCGGCUCGCAGCAGGAAAGAUGACGAAACAGGUGUAUCAAUCGGGGAGGCCAGUGUUCGGGGCUUAGGAGUGCCACACAGAACGCGGGGAGCUACGGCCCCUUCCCAGGGAGAGCACUGGCCUCAGCAGCACCCCAGAGGAAGGAGCCGAAGACUGCAUUGGGCUUCCCCGGGAAGCCGUCUAAGAACAGGGCGCUGCCAUGAAGACCGAGGUAGACAAGCCCCACCCUUUCCAGUGAGCUUUCCAGGACCCCUUCUCAAAUCUCAGGUGACAGCGGGGGGGUCACCAGACGUGUGACAGGGUCUCUGCCGUGAAGGCAUGGCAGACUGCCAAAACAGGAGGGAGACAAUUUGUGGGAAGCAGGACUUGAGCAGUGAAAAGCACUUCAUGUUGUUUACGAUAUUUGUAGAGAAAUCGUUUCUUUAAAUCUUGUUAAUUUCCUCAAGAAGACAAUAGAAUUAGAAAAUAUCCAUGAAAGGAUAGAAUGCUACAAGGGAACAUUCAGAGACAAAUUCAGAACUUUCUUUUCUGUUACAAUAUUUUAUAAUUGA